rnacentral:rRNA from 1 species
GAUGAACGCUGGCGGCGUGCUUAACACAUGCAAGUCGAACGAAGCACUUAAGAUUGAUUCUUCGGAUGACGUCUUUUGUGACUUAGUGGCGGACGGGUGAGUAACGCGUGGGUAACCUGCCUCACACAGGGGGAUAACAGUUAGAAAUGACUGCUAAUACCGCAUAACCCGAUAGGAUCGCAUGAUCCAUACGGAAAAGAUUUAUCGGUGUGAGAUGGACCCGCGUCUGAUUAGCUAGUUGGUGAGGUAACGGCCCACCAAGGCGACGAUCAGUAGCCGGCCUGAGAGGGUGACCGGCCACAUUGGGACUGAGACACGGCCCAAACUCCUACGGGAGGCAGCAGUGGGGAAUAUUGCACAAUGGGGGAAACCCUGAUGCAGCGACGCCGCGUGAGUGAAGAAGUAUUUCGGUAUGUAAAGCUCUAUCAGCAGGGAAGAAAAUGACGGUACCUGACUAAGAAGCCCCGGCUAACUACGUG